UCUCCGUAGGUGAACCUGCGGAGGGAUCAUUACAGCGUUCUCGCCCUUACGGGUAGAUCUCCCACCCACUGUUAUCGUUACUGUCGUUUCUUUGGCGGGCCGCCGGGUCCCCGGCCGCCGGCGCCUAGCUGCCGGCGCGCGCCCGCCAGAGGCCUUCAAACUCUGAAUGUUAGUGUCGUCUGAGUACUAUAUAAUAGUUAAAACUUUCAACAACGGAUCUCUUGGUUCUG
rnacentral:misc_RNA from 1 species